UACGUAGGGGCAAGCGUUGUCCGGAUUUACUGGGCGUAAAGAGCGUGUAGGCGGCCACGCAGGUCCGUUGUGAAAACUGGAGGCUCAACCUCCAGACGUCGACGGAAACCGUAUGGCUAGAGUCCGGAAGAGGAGAGUGGAAUUCCUGGUGUAGCGGUGAAAUGCGCAGAUAUCAGGAAGAACAACCAUGGCGAAGGCAGCUCUCUGGGACGGUACUGACGCUGAGACGCGAAAGCGUGGGGGAGCGAACAGG
rnacentral:rRNA from 1 species